rnacentral:rRNA from 1 species
GACGAACGCUGGCGGCGUGCUUAACACAUGCAAGUCGAACGGAAUGGCCCUGAUCUUGUGGGGUUCCCGAGUGGCAAACGGGGGAGUAAAACGUGAGUAACCUCCUCUUGACUUUGGGCUAACUUCAGGAAAAUGGGGCUAAUACCGGAUAGGAUACCCCGCAGCAUGGUGUGCGUUGGAAAGUUUCGGCGGUUGGGGUUGGAGGGGCGGCUUAUGAGCUUGUUGGUGGGGUAGUGGCUUACCAAGGCUUUGGCGGCUAGCCGGCCUGAGAGGGAGACCGGGCACAGUGGGACUGAGGUAGGGCCCAGACGGCUACGGGAGGCAGCAGUGGGAAAUAUUGCACAAUGGGCGGAAGCCGGAUAGAGCAUCGUCGGGUGCGGGAAGACGGCCUUCGGGUUGUAAACCGCUUGCGCCUGGGACGAUGCGCGAGUGACGGUAAUUGAUAAAGAAGCACCGGCUAACUACGUG